rnacentral:rRNA from 1 species
CCGGCACGGGUGAGUAACACGUAUCCAACCUGCCGUCUACUCUUGGACAGCCUUCUGAAAGGAAGAUUAAUACAAGAUGGCAUCAUGAGUCCGCAUGUUCACAUGAUUAAAGGUAUUCCGGUAGACGAUGGGAUGCGUUCCAUUAGAUAGUAGGCGGGGUAACGGCCCACCUAGUCUUCGAUGGAUAGGGGUUCUGAGAGGAAGGUCCCCCACAUUGGAACUGAGACACGGUCCAA